CAUGAAAUCCUGGGUGAACUCUUCAAGAGUGGAAUCUCUAUUUCCCCCAAUCCCAUGGAGCUCCUGUGCACAAGCCCUGCUGGCCUUCAAUUCCAAAUGCUCUGGGGCUUCUCUUCACAAUGCCAGACCCCCAGUCAUGGGAACAUGAUUUGGGACUCAGAACUCUCACUCCUAUGGGUGACCCUCUGCAAUAUACUUAUUUUAUGUCUGCGGGUUGCCCAUACAGUGGGUAUGAGCUUGCUUAUAUUGUGUUAGCACCCCUCCAACUGUCUCAGUGUUGCUUCUUUGGUUUUUGGUGCAGGAUAUCUUUUUUGGUAGUUUCCAGUCUACUCUGCUGAUGGUUGUUCAGCAGUUGGUUGUAAUUUUGUUGUUUUUGUAAGAGAAGGUAAGCUCCAGUCUUUCUACUCCACCAACUUAUUCUUGUCUCUCUUCUCUACUUAUUCAAAAUAAUCAUUGCAUAAUUCAUGUUAUCAAAUACAGUGAUGAGUAUGAGGACAGGAGAAGAUAAAGGGAAUUAAAACAAUUUGGUAGAGAAAUAUAUUUUUGGUUUUACAGAGAUGUAAUACAUUCAUUCCUUCAUACACCUGUGACCUUUUGAAAUGUCAAGACAUUGAGAAAAUACUCUUAUCAGUUUCCUCUUUUAAAAGUACAUUAUUCAAGAAUAUGCAAAUUUGUCCAAAGAUAUAGCUAUAAUGAAAAGCCAUUUUUUCAUAGAUAGUAGACAUUUAAUUAAUAACCAGUGAACUAUAAGGAUCCCUUUAAAUAAUUGAUAGGAGUUAAAGUUUUAUAUUCUUGGAGAAAAUGUAGCACAAAUUGGUUUUGAUGGGUUAGAUGACCCUGUAAAUGACGCCAUGCGACUAUUGUACUUAGGAAAAGCUUUCUCCCUUUUUUUUUUCAUCCCUUUGGAUAUAAUAAUUACCCCUUCCCACUUUUGACCUCUGGCUUUAACAUAAAAAUAAUCUACAAAACAGGGUUGGUGUUGACUCUUUGUUUCUCUUUUCUUUUCUUUUCUUUUUUAGUUGGAUGGUUUCCAUUUGUUUUAUGCUUGAGUACUUUUCUUUUUAGUUUUUGUGAAUGUAAUGUUUGGUUUUGAUUUGUGGUUGCCCUGUUUUUUAAGUAUGUUAACCCCUUCCUUUAUCUGCUUAGUUUAGCCUGAUAGUCAUAUAGAUUCAAACACAUCAUUAAAAUAAAAAAUAUAUAUUUUCUUACUUUCUUUCCCCACAAUCUACGAUUUUGAUGUCUUUCUUUUUCAACAUUUUCAUGUUUAGAUCUUUAUGUGGGCUUAUUUAAGUGAUUGCUUUCCAAUUGUGGUUUCCUCCAUCCUAAUUCUUAAUUUUUUUUUUUUAAUUUAGAGGAGCCAUUUCAGCAUUUCUUUUAGAAUGGGUUUAAUAUUGCUAUACUCUUUUAGCUUUUGUUUGUUGGAGAAAUACUUUAUUUCCCCUUCUAUUUUAAAUGAUAUUCUUGUUGAAUAGAGUAUUCUAGGUUGCAGAUUUUAUCCUUUCAGCACUUUAAAUAUAUCUUGCCACUGCCUUCUCGUCUGUAGUGUUUCUGUAGAGAAAUCAGCUGAUAUCCUUAUGGGAGUUCCCUUAUAAAUAACGCUUUGCUUUCCUCUUGUUGCCUUUAGAAUCCUCCCUUUAACUAUUGCCAUUUUUAUUAUAAUAUGUCUUGGUGUGGGCCUGUUUGGUUUCAACUUGCUUGGGGCCCUCUGUGCUUCCUAUAUCUUGAACUCAGUACCCUUUAGAUUUAGAAAGUUUUCAGCCAUAACUUUUUCAAAUAUAUUUUCAAUACCCUUUUAUUUUUCUUUCCCUUCUGGAAUUCCUAUUAUGUGUAGAUUGGCCUGCUUUACAUUAUCCCAUAUGUCUCUUAUAUUGCUUUCAUGUCUUUUUAUUUGGUUUUCUGUACGCUGUCCUGAUUGGGUGUCACUAAUUCAUUCCUCUGCAUUAUUCAUUCUGGUCUUUAUUGACUUUAGCUCAGUUUGCAUCUCUGCAAAUGAAUGUUCUAGUUUUUCUUGGCUCCUCCUUAUAUUUUCUAGUUCCUUUCUAGAGGAAUCUGCAUUACUGUUCAUAUCCUCUCUUAAUUCCUUCAGUAUUUUCACUAUCUCCCUUUUGAACUCAUGUCUGUCAGAUUGCAGAAGUCUGUUUCAUUGUUGACUGCUUUAGGUGAAUUCCCCUGUUCCUUUAACUGUGAAUGGUAUCUGAGCUUAUUAUUCUUGCUUGUGUUUUCCUUUUUCUGUGAAUUUGGGGAAGCCAAACUGUAGUCUUGUAAGGCUAUUUCUAUGCCAGAGUACCUCUUUGUAUUUUUUGGUGGGUUACUAUUUAUUUUUGGUGUGGGAAUUUGAAUAUUUGCUGUCUCUUUCUUCAGUGUGAGUAGGCUGUUGUUCCCAGGAUGCUCAGUGAGUUUUCAGGGAGAGGGAGGCAAUGGGUAGGGCCAGCAGUCAGCACCUGGUUGUUGGGCUCUCAACAGCAGGAAGGACCUGCAGGAAGGUGGCACAAGCUACUCCUAUUUACAGGACACUGGGAAGUGGUAAUGAACUCUCGGCAGAUCUACAAGGUGACCAAAGAAUUUGGCAGUAGCAGCAGCAGCGUGCAUGAGUUCCCAGAGGAGUGAGAGCAGCAACAGCUUGUGCUGGAUUGCAAUGCCCUCCUCUGAGGUGAUUGGAACUACAGGUGGUACCCGUUCAGUGACCCCUAGUGGUAGCAGGCCAUGACUGCCUCUGGAGUCAGUGAUAGCUGUGGUGGUUUGCCCCCACCACCUGUAGACCCAUCUGACUUAGGAGGUGCUGUACAGGCUGCUCCUACUUGCAGGAUUCUGGGAAGUGACAGAGAUCAGGUGUGCAGGUAUUGCCCAGAGCAAUUGGCAGUGUCAGUAGCAGGGCGGUUGUGUUCCCAGGAGUACAAGAGUACCAACAGGUGGUGUUCAGUCACAAUGCCCUCCUCUGUGGUGCGCCUGAAGUGAAUGGGGCUGCAAGUGGUGUCUGUUUAUGGACCCCUGGUGGUGGUGAGCCACUCCCACCUCUGGAUCCAGAGAUAACUGUGGUGAUUUGCCCUCACCUCCUGUAGACCAUGCCAAAAGCACCUUGUCCUGCUUAGUCCCCACAGGAGGUGCUGCACAAGCUGCUCCUAGUUGCAGGUUUCUGGGAAGGGAAAUAUCAAAUUAUAUUAGAGUACCAGAUGUGCAUUUGGUGUUCAUUAGAAUAAGAAAAUGAUGAAUUUUUCCUGUAAAGUUUUUAAUUGUUUCUUGAAUUUCAAUGAGAAAAUAUUCAUUUACUUGCCAAUAAAUGCCCUGUAAAAAAAAAAUCUAAAUUUUAUAUCAAAACAGAAGUUGAUAAAGGAGGAAAAUAUUACAUUUUUUCACAAAUGUUUUGUAAAAUAUACUGAUGCAUGUAUGUUUUAGUAAUACUGCUAUAUCAAGAACUUGACUAGAACCUUGUACUAAAAGCUGGAAUGUUAUACUAAUUUUGCUUAACUUAAAAGAAAACAUUUAUUUCAUAAUGAAGUAAGAGAUAAAAUCAAAGAAUUCCAGUUGCUCAAAUUCAGCUAUUACUGACCCUACAAUUUUCUUAAAACUAUUAACCUAGAAAAGUAGUAUAUUUUCAGAGUCAAAGUAAUAUUCAAUUAUAUUCCAAUUCCAGAUAUAUUACAUAUGUAUAUAUUUUGCCAUUAAAUAGACUUUGUGGAAAACAUAGUCUAAUAUAGUCCACCAUCAUCUCUCCCUUGUGUUCAAAUCAUAGUGUAAUCCACUCUCCCUGAGCAUGGGUGGGACCUGUGACUUGCCUCUAGUGAAGAGAAUAUGACAGAAGUGUGGAACUGUCACUCCCAAGAUUACAUUAUGUGAGCAGCUUCUAGCAUCAGAGGGCAGAUUCCAGUCAAUAGCUAGCAAGAAUGUGGGACCAACAGUCCUACAAAAGCAAAGAAAUUAAUUCUGACAACACCCAAAGGGAGAUUGAAAGUGGAUUUUUUUCCCCAUUUGUUCCUCUAACUAGCUGAUAUCUUGAUUGCAUCUUUGUGAGACUUUAAGGAGAAGACCUACUAAACAACACCCAGAUUCCUGGCCUGCAGAAAUUGUAAGCUAAUAAAUGUGCAUUGAUUUCAGUUGCAAAGUGUGUGGUUAUUUGUUUUGAAUCAAAAGGAAUAAUAAAAAACUAAACAAAAUAAUUAAAUAAAAAUUUCUAUACUGCUGGCUUUUGGCAAUCUACUGAGCAAAUGUGUGCUACUUUUUUUUUUUUUUUUGAAAAGAGUUAAGCAUUUUACUCACUUGCUCAAAUAACAUCUAUGAAUUUCAGCCCACGACUGAUUUACAAAACAUCUGUACUACAUGGCCAUAAAUAAGCAAAUACCACACAUGCAUUCUUAACAAAACUUUUCUGCUUCUAUUUAGCAUCUUAAUAUAUAGGAGAAAAGAUUAACACUUUUUCAUAAAAACUUAAGCUGCAUUAGGAGAGCAAAUUAUGCUUUACUUUUCAAUAUUACAGUACGUUUUUCUCUAUUAACUUGGGCUUUGACUGGUUAUUUCUGAAAUAUAGUCUGUGAUUUUUAGAAAGCUCUCUAAUUCUUAUUAAGGAAAUAAUAAAUCUCUAUGUUAUCACUACUUUAAUUUUUAAAGUCAGUGCUCCAUAGAAAUGUAUUAAAAGUAAAGACGUUUAAAUUAGUCUGGGAUCAUUCUUUCCUUGAUGCCAUUUGCUUAUUGUAACUAGCAUAAAUGAAAAUCCAGAAGUACUGCCACACUUUGUAAAUGUAGCAUAUUGUAGUGUCCUUCCAAAAUCAUUUUUAAUGGGGAUACAUUUUAUAGAAACUGCACAAACUUUUUAAGUUUUAAAAAGAAAACUUUUCAAAGUUUCUGAAAACAGAAAAAUAAGUAGUUUUAAUAUAUUAAAAUUUCUUAAAGCACUAGAGACUGAUAAGAAUGCUUCUAAUAUCACCAUCUUCCCAAACCCUAGUUCCAGAGCUUUAGCUGAGGUGAUUGUGUUUUUUUUUUUUUUUUUUUCCCUAUUGCAUUAUGGAGUUUGUUUUCAAGACACCAAACAAAUUUUAAUGUUCAUCACUGUACCCUAUUUCCUUUUACCUAAAUGCCCUUUAUUACAAAAUGGAUCCGUUUUAUUUUAAUGUUUUGGGUAGCAAAAGCAUAAAUCUGAAUACCACUCCUCUCUUCACUCACUGUUCCUUCAUUCUCAGCAUAGAUGAGCCAGGAUUUAGGCACCACACCAGGAUUUACUGCUUCAAAAACAUGGGUUUGUUCUAACCAUGUAAUAGCACACAGGAAAAAGCAAGCAAGUAUAAAAUAUUAUUCACUUAUGUCUUAUGAACCCAGGAAGGAAUUAUGAUAAACAAAACUUUAUUUAGAAUCAGAUAGACCUACAUAUAAAUCAUCUUACAACCAUACUAAUUGUGUUACCUGGAAAAUUGACAUAUCACUAUUAUCCCCCUUAACAUAUUUGUCGUGAAAUGUAAACAAGAAAAUCAGAAAACCUAUUUAAAAUUGCUUACAUAUUAUAAAGAAUCAUUAUUUUAUGAGUUCCUGUCAUGGCUCAGUGGGUUAAGAACCUGAUACAUAUCCAUGAGGAUGAGGGUUCAAUCUCUGGCCUCACUCAGAGUGUCAAGGAUCUGGCAUUGCUGCAAACUGAAGCAUAGGAUCUGGAUGCAGCUUGGAUCUGGUGUUGCUGUUGCUGUGGCUGUGAUUCAACCCCUAGCCUGGGAACUUCCAUAAGCCACAGGUGCAGCCCUAAAAAGAUAGAAAAAAUAUGUUAUAUAACUAUAUACCCUUAUGUUAUAUAACUAUAUACCCUUUAUGUUAUAUAACUAUAUACCCUUAAGUCAAAUGUAGAGAUAAAGAACUGUGUUUUCCUAUUUAAUAAAGUCAGUAUUUUAUUUCCUGUAGCUCUAUCAGCUGCAUCUCAAGCUAUCUUUUCCUCCUUAAUUUGUCCAUUAAGGAACAUUCUCAUAGAGUGUUACUUAUCAAGUCUAUUCAAAUUAUAGAAUUUAUUUGCCUUUUAGGAUAUCUUUCCCUGUUUCCAUACCACUGAACAUAGUACAAGCAAGAGACACCUCAGUAAUUUUCCUAGGUUUCCUAUGUACUCCUUCCUGUUCUUUAUUGUGUAGUAGAAGUCAAAAUACUCAUGGUAAUCAGUGUCAAUCAUCCCUAUAAAUUUGAUAUUUUUUUCUUAUGUGCUGGUAAGAGCAUAAACUGAUCAUUUUCAUUUCAAGUUAAGAAGAACCUUUAAAUGUGUCUCCUGAUAAGAGUGCCUCUCAGGAGUUCCCAUUGUGAUGCAGUGGAAAUGAAUAUGACUAGUAUCCAUGAGGAUGUGGGUUUGAUCCCUGGCCUUGUUCUGUGGGUCAGGAAUCCAGCAUUGCCAUGGGCUGUGGUGUGACAGGUGCAGCUCAGAUCCUGCAUUGGUGUGGAUGUUGGGUAGGUCAGCAGCUAUAGCUCCAAUUUGAUCCCUAACCUGGGAACUUCCAUAUACCACAAGUGCAGCCCUAAAAAAAAAAAAAAAAAAAAAAAAAAAAAAAAAA
rnacentral:lncRNA from 1 species